rnacentral:lncRNA from 1 species
AAGCUGCUGUUUUGGCCAUUAGAGGCAGACAGAGACCCGUAUGUUAUAAUCCCAGAGUGCAGCUGUUAUAAUAAGGCAAUAUAAAAUUUUCUUUCCAUCUGAUAAGAAGGACUGGAAAUAUUAGAUAAAAAAAAAAAAGGAACCCAGACAGUCUCAGCAAUGAUUUCCUAAUGUUUCUGAACAAUGGUUUCAGCAAAUUUCCUACUUUUGAGUUCGUAAGUGGAUGUUGAGGGGGUCAAGUCCAGGACUGGCUUGGACAGUUUCUUGUUUUUCUGUAAUGGAAAAGAUACGGGACACAAGGUGGCAUCCAUCCUUGACACAGUACAACUGAGUCAGGAGAGGCUACAUCACCUACUCGGAGCCUCCCAGGAUGGGUUUUCAGCUUCCCAGAGACAGGCUUCAUUCUGGGUAAGUGGCUGUUCAGCUAAGCAAGUCUGCGUAUGAACUGCCAAGACCAGAGGCAAGGAUAUGUGGGUAAAGGAGUCUGAAGGCCUGCCCAGCCCUGUCAUGUCAGCCUGUGUCCUCCUAAACUCUGUUAACAGGGAACCAGCCCCAAAGAAGAGUCAUAAAGUCAUUCCUCUUGCAGCACCCAAAUGCAAACUUUGCCCUCCUUUUGUGCCCUUCCCUUCUUCAGCACCAACUCAAAACAAUUACAUCUAAUCCCUUUACCUGCCAGAAAGCUGGCAGACAAAAAUGACCUGGUGUCCAACCGCAGGACUUCAGGACUUGCAUGACAGAAUCUUGCCCCACUAUGCCUAAGCAGUCUAACCAAUGUUCUCUGACAGUAUCCUGAGGAUAUCACUCCUUGGGGCACAAUUUUGGGGCCAGAGAUAGAAAGAAUAUGAGAAAUUUGAUGUCCUAAUGUCAGGAAUAAGUGCCUUUUCCAAUUAGAAAGCUCAGAAAGGGUGCAGAGAGCACAGAAGGUAUUGUAAGAAACUGUUUUGAAGCUAAUGCAAAUGGUUCUGGUUUCUUCCAAACACUCCAGCACUUGACCUUUAAUGCAUACCUUUCCAAGAAAAUAUUCUUAUUAAAUCACAAUCAAAAUUCCUUUAGAUUUAUUUUAAAUACAAGUAAAUUGCAUUAGCAUAAAUGCAUCUCCAUCUUAAGAGGCAGACUCCUUGAUAGGUAGCUUUCAAUGCACAUGGAUUGUAAAACUAUGAGGAUAGCUUUAAAGACCCGUUUUCAAACUUGUCAAGAUUGCAGCUGGGUUGGUAACUCUUCCAAAGGUAGUAAAAGAGGUGUAUUUUUCCACUGAAGGUGUAUACAUUUUCAGCUUUUGAAGACUAAAUAUGUAAUUCAUUGAUUUUGAAGACUUCUGGAAAAAUAGCCCAUUUUGGUUUAUUUGGAAAAGGUAAUAACAGGAUAUCCUUUCAAGAAACAAGUAUGUGUAAAUGCAAAGUUCUCUAUACAGGCAUGAUAUACACCACAGCCCUGCCUCAGAUCUCACCUGUAGUCUACAUCAACAUCAUUCAUUAUCUAAGAUAGAUCUCACAAUAUUCAUGUAACCACAAAGGGUUUGAUUUUUUCUCUGAAAGGAUGGUGGCUUUAGACACUGUGCUAAGUAAGUUUACCUGCGCAUCAACAGCCCCAUCAUAGAUAAUCCACUUCCUUUUGCAAAUACCUAUUUGGACCCAUGGCUCUGGCCAUGAGCCUUGCUGGGUCAGCCCAGCACCAACAAGCUCAGGCAAUCCCACACCCUCAGAUGGGAAAUGACAAGCAUGACUAGAUCGAAAUCUGCUAAUUCUUCUUUUUGCCUAUUUUUAUCUUCUCAAUUUUCAGUCUCUGUGUCACAAAGAGGCUCAUGGUAACCCACUUUUCUCCAUGUUAUUCUUUUUCCUUAUGUAAGUGAGCCUGAAAGCAUAACUUAAUUUUCAAAAAGAGAACAAAUACUCAAACACAUAAAAAAAGACAGGAUGCUGGACAGAAAUGCUCUGGGAUGAAGCUAUAAUAUGAAAAUGAGCACAGCCAUGGCUGGCCUUUCGUCUUUCAAUCACCAUAAGAAGAGAGACUGCUCUCUUUCUGAGCCCCCUAGCUCUGGAAUUUGUGUAUACAUGCUGUAUCUUCUUCCUUUAAGAUAGCAGAAACUUUUAUCUCUAAUGUCCUCCUCAUCUGCUAGACACAAAAAGUCCAAAUUCAAUGUCUUCAUUUAUUAAAAAAAAAGUAUUACCAAGAAUGUUCCUAAUUAUAAGUUACCCUGAUGGCUAAGAGCAAUUUUUCCUAUCCUGGGAAAAUAUUUGGGGUUUUUCAAAAGCUUUUCUGUUUCAAAUCAGGAAGAAGAGUCUAAGAUUACAUUUUAUUUUAUAACAAAAAACCCCACUUCUGACUAGCUGAAACUUCCAAAUAAUUUCAAAACAUUCUGUCCUUUUUCUUAGGCUGGAGACUCUAACAAAUUCAGAAUAACUAAGAAAGGAUCCUUUUAUUCAGAAGAUGUCAAACCAAUAAUGUCAACACACUUCUCCAAAUAAAUGAAUUUAAAUAGAAAAUUCAUUUGAAACUUUCUUUCCCACACACUGUUUCACAAUUGCACUGGAUCAGCAUUUCUUUCUGAAGGAGAACAUUCUGUCAGAAAGAUCCCCACCUUGCUCUAGGGCUCUGUGCUACUUGUAUUUUAGCACCAGGAGAAUCAAGGCCUGAAAAGAUGUUUUUCUGCAUAAGUACUGCAACACUCCUCUUUGGGAUCCAGCUGCCUGUGAUCCUAGGCCCAAUGCCAGUGUGGCAAAACUGUGCUACCCUGGCUCAGAUUUUUGAGAAAACCACUAAGUUUUGAGGCAAGGAUGUGAGAAAGCACACGGGCUAGAGCCAUGCAAGGUAAGACUGGCAAAGCUGCAGACAGAGGUACAGUUCUUGAGCUGAGGAUGGAUGCUGAUACAGGCUUCAAGAGGAAAAUCACUGACAUGAAAAGGUACAAAAUACUUAGGGGAGUGGAAUUAAAAUACAGCAUCUUACCUGCUUCUUUCCGUUCUCUCAUUUCCUGAAUUAAUGAGUAUUUAAAAGAAAAUGCACAAAAUAGACAACUAAACUGACUGUAGUGAAAGCUUAGUUAUAUUCCAAAGUAUUAAUUUGCCUAUAUAAUUUUAACUAAUUUCCCACUGCUAAACCAGAUAUUCUCUACAUAUGAACGUAUAGAACAGCUUUUAUUAUUACCCUGAAACAAUCUUUCGGUAUCAUAGUUAAUUUUUUAGCUUCAUGCUUUUAUGUAUCAAGGGUCUAAUUUUACCUGGUUAUUCCCAUUUUACUGCAUUCUUUACCCUGAUCUUCACUUCAUAGCUUGGAAUGAAUUAUGGUAAAUCUGUACAUCUUGUGGCUUCCUAAUAAAACAUAUUUUCCAAAAUUAUUUUCAAGCACUUACAAUACACUGUGGCUAGGGGCACUAUGCUGUGCAUGCUGUGGAAUCACCAGAGGUUUGAAGAUUACUGGAUUAAUUUUAUAAAAAGUGUUAUACACAUCUCCAUGACCUUCUUAGUGACUGCAUUACUGUUUAAGUGGUUAGGAGACAAGUUUCUGCAGGAAUAAGCGAUCAGUGGACGUUGCGGAUACCAAUACCAGAAAAUGCAGGUUCUAUACCAUAUGCAGAAUAGUAUUCUAUACGUAUUAAUUAAUAUUUAUUAAUAUGUAUUAAUUAAUUCUCCCAUUGCAGAAGACAGGUGACCUCCUCUUGACUAAGCAUACAUGUAGCUUAUUUAUAACAUGUUUUCUCUUUUCUGAAUAAACUCUUUUUUGCUUUAGGAAAGCCUACUGGUCACCAUGUAAACCUGUAAUUUCUGAACCUGGUUUAAUAUAAGGAAAGAUAGGGCAGGAUGGGCAAAUGGGUUGAUUGCCACCACACAAUCCAGGUCAUGAGACAUCUAGAUUUAGCUGGGACAGCACAGUUUGUGGGUCUGAAUGGGAGAUGCUGUUCUGGCUAGGGCUCUGGAGCAUGUUCUGCAAGGAAGGAGAUACUUCAAGGAUGUCCAGGGAAUAGGGCACCUUCCAGAUGACCAAAAGCAGAUCAGGUGAAAGGUGUACACCACAGCCAUGGUAUCUCAUUCACAAUCCUCUCUAACCUUAAAGAAAUAAAGAACUAGCCUAUGCAUUAAUGUGUAUUUCAGUUUCUUCAGAAACCAUAAAGACAGAGAUUCAUUUGCUUGAACAGCAUCAUAGACAACACACUGCAGUACCGACUUUGUAGGAGACAGAAGUAAUUUCUA